CAAAGCCGCGAGGCAGAGCAAACCCCUAAAAGCCAUCCCAGUUCGGAUUGCAGGCUGCAACCCGCCUGUAUGAAGUUGGAAUCGCUAGUAAUCGCGGAUCAGCAUGCCGCGGUGAAUACGUUCCCGGGCCUUGUACACACCGCCCGUCACACCAUGAGAGUCGGGAACACCCGAAGUCCGUAGCCUAACCGCAAGGAGGGCGCGGCCGAAGGUGGGUUCGAUAAUUGGGGUGAAGUCGUAACAAGGUAUC
rnacentral:rRNA from 1 species